GAUGAACGCUGGCGGCGUGCCUAAUACAUGCAAGUCGAGCGAACAGACGAGGAGCUUGCUCCUCUGACGUUAGCGGCGGACGGGUGAGUAACACGUGGAUAACCUACCUAUAAGACUGGGAUAACUUCGGGAAACCGGAGCUAAUACCGGAUAAUAUAUUGAACCGCAUGGUUCAAUAGUGAAAUACGGUUUUGCUGUCACUUAUAGCUGGAUCCGCGCCGCAUUAGCUAGUUGGUAAGGUAACGGCUUACCAAGGCGACGAUGCGUAGCCGACCUGAGAGGGGGAUAGGGCCACAGUGAAAGUGAAAAACGGCCAGGAGUCUUAGGGAGGGCACAGUAGGGAAUCUUACGCAAUGGGCGAAAGCCUGACGGAGCAACGCCGCGUGAGUGAUGAAGGUCUUCGGAUCGUAAAACUCUGUUAUUAGGGAAGAACAAAUGUGUAAGUAACUAUGCACGUCUUGACGGUACCUAAUCAGAAAGCCACGGCUAACUACGUG
rnacentral:rRNA from 1 species